GGAGGAAUAUUGCACAACGGGGGGAACCCAGGUGCAGCAACGCCGCGUGAGUGAAGAAGGCCUUCGGGUUGUAAAACUCUUUUCUGAGGGAUGAGAACGGACAGUACCUCAGGAAUAAGUCUCGGCUAACUACGUGCCAGCAGCCGCGGUAAGACGUAGGAGGCGAGCGGUAUCCGGAUUUACUGGGCGUAAAGGGCAAGUAGGCGGUUAGUCAAGUCAGUUGUGACAGAUCCCGGCUCAACUGGGAGAGGACGAUUGAGACUGGUUAACUAGAGGACAGGAGAGGGGAGCGGAAUUCCUUGUGUAGCGGUGGAAUGCUCAGAUACAAGGAGGAACACCAGUGGCGAAGGCGGCUCUCUGGUCUGAUCCUGACGCUGAAGAGCGAAAGCUAGGGGAGCGAACGGG
rnacentral:rRNA from 1 species